CACGUAGUUAGCCGGAGCUUAUUCCUCAGGUACCGUCAAAUUCCUCUUUCUUCCCUGAUAAAAGAACUUUACAUUACGAAUAACUUCUUCGUUCAUGCGGCGUUGCUCGGUCAGGGUUCCCCCCAUUGCCGAAAAUUCCCUACUGCUGCCUCCCGUAGGAGUAUGGACCGUUCUCAGCUCCAUUGUGGCCGUUCAACCUCUCAGUCCGGCUACGCAUCAUCGCCUUGGUAGGCCCUUACCCCACCAACUAGCUAAUGCGCCACAGGCCCCUCCUUAAGCAGAUCUCUCUUUUUAAAAUAUAAAAGAUUCUUCCUCUAUAUCCUAUCCAGUUUUAUCCAUCGUUUCCAAUGGCUAUCCUCGUCUUAAGGGUAGGUUACCUAUGUAUUACCCACCCGUUCGCCACUAAAGUACCCGAAGGUACUUCCGUUCGACUUGCAUGUAUUAGGCACGCCGCCAGCGUAUCUGAGUCCAGAGCAAACUAC
rnacentral:rRNA from 1 species